rnacentral:lncRNA from 1 species
GUCUACAGGAGCAAUACCCGGUACACGUGAUUAUGAUAAGCAACAUUGUAGGGAUUUGCACCUCUUGCCUCCUCAGGUACAGAAUCCUGUGUAUGGCUGGUAAUGUAUAGUAUAUUGUAACCUUAGCCCUCAUUGUAGCAACAUUGUCUCUUCAUUGUAACCUUGCACCUCUUGCCUCCUCAUUGUAGCAACAUUGUCUCUCUCUAUAUCUUGUGGUGUAUAGUAUAUUGUAACCUUAGCCCUGCGCUUUUCCCCUAGUCGUAAACAUGUACAAUGAGCCCACAUCCCCAUCCACUGAACUUAGUAAUAUCGUAAGAUCGGAGAGAUUCCUAUUGAACUUUUUUU